rnacentral:rRNA from 1 species
UACGUAGGGUGCAAGCGUUGUCCGGAAUUAUUGGGCGUAAAGAGCUUGUAGGCGGUUUGUCGCGUCGACUGUGAAAUCCCGCGGCUCAACUGCGGGUCUGCAGUCGAUACGGGCAGGCUAGAGUUCGGUAGGGGAGACUGGAAUUCCUGGUGUAGCGGUGAAAUGCGCAGAUAUCAGGAGGAACACCGGUGGCGAAGGCGGGUCUCUGGGCCGAUACUGACGCUGAGGAGCGAAAGCGUGGGGAGCGAACAGG